CCAGCUAAGGUCCCAAAAUAUAUGUUAAGUGGAAAAGGAUGUGGCGUUGCCCAGACAACUAGGAUGUUGGCUUAGAAGCAGCCAUCAUUUAAAGAGUGCGUAAUAGCUCACUAGUCGAGUGACACUGCGCCGAAAAUGUACCGGGGCUAAACAUAUUACCGAAGCUGUGGAUUGUCCUUUGGACAAUGGUAGGAGAGCGUUCUAAGGGCGUUGAAGCAUGAUCGUAAGGACAUGUGGAGCGCUUAGAAGUGAGAAUGCCGGUGUGAGUAGCGAAAGACGGGUGAGAAUCCCGUCCACCGAUUGACUAAGGUUUCCAGAGGAAGGCUCGUCCGCUCUGGGUUAGUCGGGUCCUAAGCUGAGGCCGACAGGCGUAGGCGAUGGAUAACAGGUUGAUAUUCCUGUACCACCUAUAAUCGUUUUAAUCGAUGGGGGGACGCAGUAGGAUAGGCGAAGCGUGCGAUUGGAUUGCACGUCUAAGCAGUAAGGCUGAGUAUUAGGCAAAUCCGGUACUCGUUAAGGCUGAGCUGUGAUGGGGAGGAGACAUUGUGUCUUCGAGUCGUUGAUUUCACACUGCCGAGAAAAGCCUCUAGAUAGAAAAUAGGUGCCCGUACCGCAAACCGACACAGGUAGUCAAGAUGAGAAUUCUAAGGUGAGCGAGCGAACUCUCGUUAAGGAACUCGGCAAAAUGACCCCGUAACUUCGGGAGAAGGGGUGCUCUUUAGGGUUAACGCCCAGAAGAGCCGCAGUGAAUAGGCCCAAGCGACUGUUUAUCAAAAACACAGGUCUCUGCUAAACCGUAAGGUGAUGUAUAGGGGCUGACGCCUGCCCGGUGCUGGAAGGUUAAGAGGAGUGGUUAGCUUCUGCGAAGCUACGAAUCGAAGCCCCAGUAAACGGCGGCCGUAACUAUAACGGUCCUAAGGUAGCGAAAUUCCUUGUCGGGUAAGUUCCGACCCGCACGAAAGGCGUAACGAUUUGGGCACUGUCUCAACGAGAGACUCGGUGAAAUCAUAGUACCUGUGAAGAUGCAGGUUACCCGCGACAGGACGGAAAGACCCCGUGGAGCUUUACUGUAGCCUGAUAUUGAAAUUCGGCACAGCUUGUACAGGAUAGGUAGGAGCCUUUGAAACGUGAGCGCUAGCUUACGUGGAGGCGCUGGUGGGAUACUACCCUAGCUGUGUUGGCUUUCUAACCCGCACCACUUAUCGUGGUGGGAGACAGUGUCAGGCGGGCAGUUUGACUGGGGCGGUCGCCUCCUAAAAGGUAACGGAGGCGCUCAAAGGUUCCCUCAGAAUGGUUGGAAAUCAUUCAUAGAGUGUAAAGGCAUAAGGGAGCUUGACUGCGAGACCUACAAGUCGAGCAGGGUCGAAAGACGGACUUAGUGAUCCGGUGGUUCCGCAUGGAAGGGCCAUCGCUCAACGGAUAAAAGCUACCCCGGGGAUAACAGGCUUAUCUCCCCCAAGAGUUCACAUCGACGGGGAGGUUUGGCACCUCGAUGUCGGCUCAUCGCAUCCUGGGGCUGUAGUCGGUCCCAAGGGUUGGGCUGUUCGCCCAUUAAAGCGGUACGCGAGCUGGGUUCAGAACGUCGUGAGACAGUUCGGUCCCUAUCCGUCGUGGGCGUAGGAAAUUUGAGAGGAGCUGUCCUUAGUACGAGAGGACCGGGAUGGACAUACCUCUGGUGUACCAGUUGUCGUGCCAACGGCAUAGCUGGGUAGCUAUGUGUGGACGGGAUAAGUGCUGAAAGC
rnacentral:rRNA from 1 species